CAAUAGCGUAUAUUAAAGUUGUUGCAGUUAAAAAGCUCGUAGUUGGAUUUCUGGGAGGGUGCCGCCGUCCGGCGUGUCCGUGUGCAGUGGCGCCCUUCCAUCCUUCUGUUAGCGUCUCUUGGCAUUCAUUUGCUGGUGGCGGGCUCAGAUGUUUUACCUUGAGAAAAUUAGAGUGUUUCAGGCAGGCUAGGCCGGAAUACAUUAGCAUGGAAUAAUGGAAUAGGACUACGGUCUCUUUGUUGGUUUGAGGGACUGCAGUAAUGAUUAAUAGGGAUAGUUGGGGGCAUUAGUAUUUAAUUGUCAGAGGUGGAAUUCUCAGAUUUGUUAAAGACUAACUUAUGCGAAAGCAUUUGCCAAGGAUGUUUUCAUUAA
rnacentral:rRNA from 1 species